UGCGUAGGCGGAAUGAUAAGUCAGUGGUGAAAUCCUACAGCUUAACUGUAGAACUGCCAUUGAUACUGUUGUUCUUGAGUACAUUUGAAGUGGGCGGAAUGUGUCAUGUAGCGAUGAAAUGCAUAGAGAUGACACAGAACACCGAUCGCGAAGGCAGCUCACUAAACUGUAACUGACGCUGAGGCACGAAAGCGUGGGGAUCAAACAGGAUUAGAUACCCUGGUAGUCC
rnacentral:rRNA from 1 species